GACUAUUUAUGAAGAUGCCAAUGUUUUGUUGUGCCGCUACCUUUUGUAGCCCAAACUAUCUGGGCGGGCAUAGAAGGACAAUGUUCUCUUAGGAAUAUCCCCUCCCUUGUGAACACUGUUGGGCAACGCCCUACUAUUUUUUGUAAUGGAUCCUGACUAGACUCCUAAACUACUGUUAAUUUAUUAAUGCAAAUCUGGUUC
rnacentral:lncRNA from 1 species